rnacentral:tRNA from 1 species
ACCUGGGUGGCUUAGUCGGUUAAGCGUCUGACUUUGGCUCAGGUCAUGAUCUCAUGGUUCAUGAGUUUGAGCCCUGGUA